AUUUUGUGCCAAACACAAGCAAAUAAGAAAAAUCUAUCAAUGGUCUAGAAAUAGGAAUGUGAUGCGUUUAGUCUGCCAGGUUGUAUUUUGCAAGAUAGGUGGGAUGCCUCACAGAACAGGAGAGAACACUCUUGGUCUAGAGGCAGCAUUUGACCUGCCGCAAUGGCUGCUGGGCUUUUGCAGGUUCCUGCCAGUUAGUCGGGCAUGAUGACAGCAGUCAUGCCUUCUGCAGAGGAACCGUGAGGAAGAAGCAAGAUGCAUCGCCUGAGGGCAUGUAACAAGUGCUCAGUGGCUUUUGCUGGGAGAGCUUUGAAGAGCGGUGGGGAGAAGACAGUGAGAUCCAUUUGGUUACAAAGGGCCAUGCGGUCUAGAAGGACACACGGUGUGGGCACUGUUGGGGGUUAUACCCAUUUUGUAACCUCCCCAGUAGCUCCAGUGAUGCAGUCAGGCCUCUAUGUUACUCAUUCCCAUACUCAGCCUCCGAUGGACAUUGCAUUGGGCAUUCAUGUUACCUCAGCACACUGAAGACUCAGAAGGAGGGUGUCUGAUAACAAAAGGAAUCUGAAUAUUUCACAGUCUUGCUGCUUUUUGACAUCUUGAAACUAUGACUACAGCUUUCCCCCGUCUUGUGAGGGUGUAUGCUUUGUAUUACAUUGUAACAGUCUAAUGCAGCAUUUCUUAAUCUGUAAUCCAUAGAACUGUAAUCCAUAAAACUUAUGCUGAGGAUAUGCCUUGAGAAAACUGUUCCAUGCACCUAUAACUGUGUAAAAAGUGGGAACAAAUAAAGAUGAGAGAACCAGUAAAGAUAUGUUUCUA
rnacentral:lncRNA from 13 species